rnacentral:rRNA from 1 species
GACGAACGCUGGCGGCGUGCCUAACACAUGCAAGUCGAACGGACAGGCCCUGCGCUUGUGGGGUUCUCGAGUGGCGAACGGGUGAGUAACACGCGAGUAACCUGCCCUUGACUUUGGGAUAACUUCAGGAAACUGGGGCUAAUACCGGAUAGGAGCUCCUGCCCCGCGGUGGGGGUUGGAAAGUUUCGGCGGUUGGGGAUGGACUCGCGGCUUAUCAGCUUGUUGGUGGAGUAGUGGCUUACCAAGGCUCUGACGGGUAGCCGGCCUGAGAGGGUGGACGGCGUCAAUGGGACUGAGAGAGGGCCCAGACUGCUACGGGACGCAGCGGGGGAAAGUAUUGCACAAUGGGCGGAAGCCUGAGGCAGCAACGCCGCGUGCGGAAUGACGGCCUUCGGGUUGUAAACCGCUUUCGCCUGUGACGAAGCGUGAGUGACGGUAAUGGGUAAAGAAGCACCGGCUAACUACGUG